UGGGGAAUCUUGCGCAAUGGCCGGAAGGCUGACGCAGCGACGCCGCGUGUGGGAGGACGCCUUUCGGGGUGUAAACCACUGUUGCCCGGGACGAACAGCCCUUUUCGAGGGGUCUGACGGUACCGGGUGAGGAAGCACCGGCUAACUCCGUGCCAGCAGCCGCGGUAAUACGGAGGGUGCGAGCGUUGUCCGGAAUCAUUGGGCGUAAAGGGCGCGUAGGUGGCCCGGUCAGUCUUUGGUGAAAGCGCGGGGCUCAACCCUGCGUCGGCCAGGGAUACUGCCGCGGCUCGAGCACUGUAGAGGCAGGCGGAAUUCCGGGUGUAGCGGUGGAAUGCGUAGAGAUCCGGAAGAACACCGGUGGCGAAGGCGGCCUGCUGGGCAGUAUGGCUGACACUGAGGCGCGACAGCGUGGGGAGCAAACA
rnacentral:rRNA from 1 species